GCGACCAAGAGCAGCCUGUCCACGGUGUGCGAGCCGCUGGGGCCCGACCGGCCCGUCUGGUUCCCCGGCACCGCUCCUCCGCCGUGGCUCGACGGCAGCCUUCCGGGAGACUUCGGAUUUGAUCCUCUCGGAUUCGGAUCGGAGCCGGAGUCGCUGCGGUGGUUCGCGCAGGCGGAGCUGAUGCACGGCCGGUGGGCGAUGCUGGCGGCGGCCGGGAUCCUGGUCCCGGAGAUCCUGCACAAGUGGGGCUUCAUGGAGGAGUUCUCCUGGUACACCGCCGGCGAGCGCGAGUACUUCGCGGACCCUUUGACGCUCUUCGUCACCCAGGUGGCGCUCAUGGGGUGGGUGGAGGGCCGGCGGUGGAUGGACUACCUCAACCCGGGGUCCGUCGACAUCGAGCCGCGGUUCCCCAACCGCAAGAACCCCACCCCGGACGUGGGGUACCCGGGGGGCCUGUGGUUCGACUGGGGCAACUGGGGCCGCGGCUCGCCGGAGCCCGUCAUGGUGCUCCGCACCAAGGAGAUCAAGAACGGCCGCCUCGCCAUGCUCGCCUUCGUCGGCUUCUGGUUCCAGGCCGUCUACACCGGCCAGGGCCCCCUCGACAACCUCUCCGCGCACCUCGCCGACCCCGGCCACUGCAACAUCUUCUCGGUACGUAGCCGUACACACAUGGUUGGCUACUUAACUCUCCAUUGCCAGUAUGGUUUGCUUCUGUGA
rnacentral:rRNA from 1 species